rnacentral:rRNA from 1 species
UACGUAAGUGGCGAGCGUUAUCCGGAAUUACUGGGCGUAAAGCGUGUGUAGGCGGUUUAGUGUGUGGGAAUUGAAAGCCCGGGGCUCAACUCCGGAUCCGGUUCCCAAACUGCUAGACUCGAGAGUAUCAGAGGAGAGCGGAAUUCCCGGUGUAGCGGUAAUAUGCGUAGAUAUCAGGAGGAACACCUGUGGCGAAAGCGGCUCACUGGACCAUAACUGACGCUGAUGCACGAAAGCUAGGGGAGCAAACAGG